CCUGGCACACAUACUACAAGGGCCAAUCCUAGAGUUGCAGACGCCUGGCGCUCCCACGUGGGCGUAAUGAUCUAACAAACUUCUCCCCUUUGAAAAUACCCAGUCAUGAAAAGUUUCUAUGGCAAUAACUCCACCUUUCUGCCUUGUAAUCAGACACACACUCACGUACAGUCACACAAUCUAAUUGAUUUGAAACACACUCACUGACAAACACACAAACAUGCACUCUCAAUGACAGACACAUGCUCAUCCUCUUCUGGCAUAUUGCCGUGGUGCACCCUGUGCACCCACCCAGGAUCAGCUUUGUACUACAGCUCUUAUCCCGCACACACACACAAAAAAAAUUGAGAAGAAAUCGAAUAGAGAAGAAACUAAAAAAGGAUAUACAAAAAUACCUUUAUUUUUACUGCUAUCGCAGCUAUAAUGCACCCAUGCAGAGAAACUGCCUCUUAAGUAGACCUUUGUAUUGGAAAAGGUUCCUCCAAGUUAACAAGUAAAGAACAAGCAAGUCGAAUGAUGAAACAUAUUUGUGUUUACUCAAAGAGGUAAUCAGCAUAAACAUAGUCAUAGGAACACGCUGGACACUAUAACUAGUUCAUCACAAUUAAGUUGCUAUGGUGCCAGCAGGUGCCUGGCACUCACCUUUAGCGGUUAAAUCGUUCACGAAUGGUUAAACACCAAAAAUCUUGAAUUUAGCUCUUCCCCGUCCUGCUUCAUUCUGGUUCUUGAAAAAAGAAGCUUUGGACAGAAGAGCUGCUGAUUGGCUGAGAGUGUUAAGUUAGUCAGUAGUUCUUCAUUCAUUAAAAAAAAAGCUUGAGAAAAAUAUGUAUGCCCCUACUUGUGCCUCCCUUCUUAAGAGAUGUAUUCAAGACUUUUGGGCAACGAUUAAACAAUUGAUGGAUAUGGUAGAGGAGAUUCACGACUUGGAAACCCUCACAGUCUCAUUACGGGGAAUGACUGCUCACAAUUAUGGGGCCCAUGGAGGGACUACAUGUCUCAAAGGACCUCUGGAGAUAGAAGUUGGAAACUAAUUUCCUUUUUACCUUAUCACUCUUCCUUCUCAGCAGUAGCUGGGUGGAUCGGUUAGGUUGCAC